rnacentral:rRNA from 1 species
CGUACCUACGGGGGGCAGCAGUGGGGAAUAUUGGGCAAUGGGCGCAAGCCUGACCCAGCAACGCCGCGUGAAGGAAGAAGGCUUUCGGGUUGUAAACUUCUUUUCUUGGGGACGAAGAAAGUGACGGUACCCAAGGAAUAAGCCACGGCUAACUACGUGCCAGCAGCCGCGGUAAUACGUAGGUGGCAAGCGUUAUCCGGAUUUAUUGGGUGUAAAGGGCGUGUAGGCGGGAUUGCAAGUCAGAUUUGAAAAUCACGGGCUCAACCUGUGGCCCGCAUUUGAAAUUGUAAUUCU